AUUUUAAAAGUUAUAUAAUAGACAACAAAAUCUCAGGAGUCUUACUGGGUUAGUCUGAAAAGCAACAGCUAGACGAAAAAAUAGUGUGUAAGUGGGUUGGUCUUAUACAGUAAUUGAUAGGAACACCACCCAAAGCUGCUAGGGGUCUAAUUCUUAAAUCUGUAAUGUGCAAAUGGUAAGAACUGGUUGGAAAUCAAUAGCAAUCUUAUUUGAUGCCUUAGUAAUCAUCAGAUUCUGCUGAGUGUAACCCUAAGGUCAGGAAGCAAACAGGAAAGGAGAUAAGGCUAUUAGAGUCUAUAACGG